rnacentral:rRNA from 1 species
GACGAACGCUGGCGGCGUGCUUAACACAUGCAAGUCGAACGAUGAAGCUAGAGCUUGCUCUGGUGGAUUAGUGGCGAACGGGUGAGUAACACGUGAGUAACCUGCCCCGAACUCUGGGAUAACUGCUGGAAACGGUAGCUAAUACCGGAUAUGACCAAUGAAGGCAUCUUCUGUUGGUGGAAAGAAUUUCGGUUCGGGAUGGACUCGCGGCCUAUCAGCUUGUUGGUGAGGUAACGGCUCACCAAGGCGACGACGGGUAGCCGGCCUGAGAGGGUGAUCGGCCACACUGGGACUGAGACACGGCCCAGACUCCUACGGGAGGCAGCAGGGGGGAAUAUUGCACAAUGGGCGCAAGCCUGAUGCAGCAACGCCGCGUGAGGGACGACGGCCUUCGGGUUGUAAACCUCUUUUAGUAGGGAAGAAGCGAAAGUGACGGUACCUGCAGAAGAAGCACCGGCUAACUACGUGCCAGCCGCCGCCGUAA